UGAAAAGUUUCUAACUGAAGCUAAGUUUGAAUUUAAUUAAGCAUUAGCUAAUGUUUCUUCUGAUUUGAAAAAUUAAUUUUAUUGACAUUUAUUAUCACAUUUCUCCUUUGAUGAGACAAAUACUAAUGUGGAGGAAGAUAUUUUUCAAGAGUUGAUUCAGAGCAACCCACAGAUAUGCUUCACAGUAAGAUUUUUUUUCUUUUAGCUGACCUGGAUGUUUCUGAUGGUGUAUAAUUUUGUUCAGAAAUGUUCAAAUGUCUUCAUAAAAUAUUUGAAAAUUAAUCAAUAUUGAUGUUCUCUUUUUGAAAAAACAAUUUUCACCCCCUGCUACCUUAACACCAAGUACAUGCACUGAUGUGCUUUCAGACUCCAGUGAUGUAGAAGGGUUGGGGAGAACACAGCUGGACCUGUCUGCAACCUCAAACUCAAGUAAUGCCUGAGAAGUUGGGAGGUUUGGUGAUUCAAGACUUUAUUGUGCCGUUCAAUGCUGAAACAUCUGCAUGAUUGCUUGGGCAGUAGGAGACAGCAUUUAAGCAGAAAGUCAUCAAAGAAGCAAAGUCUCUCACUUUGACAGCAGAAGUUCAAAGUUAUAUCAGUGCAACAGAGAAACAACAGCCUGAAAAUGACUGUAACAGCAACAUUUCCUCUUUCUUGCUGCUGUUUUAUUUGUUACCGCCUUCUGCAGGGAGGAACAAGGCUACAAUCAGUCAAACUGAUGCUGUUGACAGGCUUGUACAUUUACAUAAGCAUUUAAGAACAUUUCAGCAGGAGAGAAGGUCACCAACCAUACCUACUUACAGUAGGACAAACCGAGAAGAGGAUCGACAAUUUUUAUGUGGUUGUGGACAAGCAGCUCAUCCCUUGUGCAGGAACCACCUCCCUGAGUGCCAUUGAUGAACUUUCAAAGUUCAUUACGUUUUUAACGUCUCCUAUGAAGAAUCUCUAGCAAAUGUCUAGAGCAUUUUAUUUAAUGCUAUCCUUUUUAAAUGAUCACCACUUGCACUUAUUUAUUUUUUACACAAUUGCCAUGCACGUUGAUGAGCUCAGUGUUACAGAGCAGUGUUUGCACAAAAGGAUUAAUAGCAGCUGUAACCUAUAUGUAAAUGUAUAAAUACAUACAUUAACCCUUGUAUCCUCUAUAAAUUGCCAUUGAGACUGGGCUUUUUUAUUUAUUAAAAUGCUUUU